CAGGCAGUCCAAAAAAUAUUAGUCAAUGCUCGAAAGAGUGAACUAGCUACUGAAUCAAUUAAAAAUUGAUAACAUAAGGGAAAAUAAUGAUAUUACCUUAUUAUUAGUGUCGUCCAAAACUGGUGCCAGAAGACUCGGUAAGGCCAGAGACACAAACGUUAAUCGUCUUAAUCAGGCGUAAAGGGUUUGUAGGCGGCUUUAAAAUUUAUUUAAAUAAUAUUACUUAAAGAAUAAAAGCUAGAAUCAAAUAGAGGAUAUAUGAAAUAAUGCUUAGAGUAGGUCUGAUAUCCUUAGAUACUAAGUAGAAUAUUAAAGGCGAAAGCUUUUUUCCAUUAAUGAUUGACGCUCAGAAACGAAGGUGAGGAUAGGAAAUAGGAUUAGAUACCCAGAAUACCCCUCUCUGUCAACGAUGAAUGGUAGUUAUUAGUAAAAAUUAUUAAUGGCAAUGUUAACACGAUAACCAUUCCGCCUUGUGAGUACAACUGCAAAGUUGAAAACAAAAAAAUUAGUCGGUUUCGGAGCAAACGAAGUGAAGCAUGUUAUUUAAUUCAAUAAAUCCGCA
rnacentral:rRNA from 1 species